rnacentral:tRNA from 1 species
GUCCCCAUCGUCUAGCCUGGUCAGGACAAGAGCUUUUCAAGCUCUCGACACCGGUCCAAAUCCGGUUGGGGACG